rnacentral:rRNA from 1 species
AGCGUUAUCCGAAUUCACUGGGCGUAAAGCGCGUGCAGCGCGGCCGAGUAAGUUGGAUGUGAAAUCUCCCGGCUCAGCUGGGAGGCGCCGUUCAAGACUGGCCGGCUGGAGGGCGGUAGAGGAAGGUGGAAUUCCCGGUGUAGUGGUGAAAUGCCUAGAGAUCGGGAGGAACACCCGUGGCGAAUGCGGCCUUCUGGACCGACCUGACGCUCAAACGCGAAAGCUAGGGGAGCGAACGGGAUUAGAAACCCCGGUAGUCCUAGCCGUAAACGAUGUUGACUAGGCGUGGGUGGGGUAAAAGCCAUCCGUGCCGCAGCUAACGCGAUAAUAUCCACCGCCUGGGGACUACGGCCGCGAGGUUAAAACUCAAAGGAAUUGACGG